UAAUACUAUAUCCUUUGUCACCUGAGAUAGUGAUUCCUAGAUCCCUUUCCUCCUCAGUAGUUCCAGUAUAGCGCCAUUAAUACUAUAUUUAUCCUUUGUCACCUGAGAUAGUGACUCCUAGAUCCCUUUCCUCCUCAGUAGUCCCCACUAUAGUGCCAUUAAUACUAUAUUUAUCCUUUAUGUCACCUGAGAUAGUGACUCCUAGAUCCCUUUCCUCCUCAGUAGUCCCUAGUAUAGUGCCAUUAAUACUAUAUCCUUUAUGUCACCUGAGAUAGUGAUUCCUAGAUCCCUUUCCUCCUCAGUAGUUCCAGUAUAGCGCCAUUAAUACUAUAUUUAUCCUUUGUCACCUGAAAUAGUGACUCCUAGAUCCCUUUCCUGCUCAGUAGUUCCCAGUAUAAGGCCAUUAAUACUAUAUUUAUCCUUUGGAUUUUUGAGACCCAAGUGCACGAUUUUGCAUUUUUUGGAGGCAUUAAACUGUAAUUGCCACACGCUUGCCCAUUCCUCUAGUCUACCUAGAUCCUCAAUCAUUUGUCUUACCCCUCCUGGUGUGUCUACCCUUUGACACAAAGGUAUGUAAUAUACAAAGAUGCAUUCUCUCCCUUUAAUGCCAUUUGCAGUGCACCAAUAAAGAUAUUAAAAAGCAAUGUUCAAAGUACAGAUCCCUGGGGUACUCCACUUGUAACAUUUCCCUCUUGUGAAUGCAUUACAUUUACCACAACUCUCUGUUUUCUAUCCUGCAACCAAGAUCUUAUCCAUUCAAUAAUCCUAGUAUGCAAUCCCAAGACUUUGAGUUUAUUUAGCAAUCUGUGAUGUGGGACAGUGUCAAAAGCCUUACUAAAGUCUAGAUAAGCUAUAUCCAUGGCUCCACCUUUAUCCAUCACUUUAGUCACACAGUGACUUGAUCUUUCCCCAGUGAAUCCAUGCUGUUUGGGAUACUGUAAAUUGCUGGAUUUGAGAUUAUCUACAACUCUUUCUUUUAAGAGUGUUUCCAUCAAUUUCCCUACCAAUGAUGUAAGACUCACUGGUCUGUAGUUGUUUGCUUCUUCCUUGCUUCCACUUUUGUGCAGUGGGACUACGUUUGCUCUUUUCCAGUCCUCUGGAAUUACUCCUGUAGCUAAUGACUGGUUGAAUAAUUCUGUCAAUGGUGCUACCAGCACCUCUUUAAGCUCUCUUAGUAUCCUUGGCUGUAUCCCAUCUGGCCCCAUAUAUUUGUCCGCUUUCAGCUUUGAGAGUUCUGUUAGGACCUUCUCCUCUGUAAAUGUACUUGUUUAAUUUUCCUGAAUCACUCUCCUGGGUUCAUUGUCUGUCUCUCACACUCACAGGCUCAUGCGCUCUCGCAGACUUCACCGUGUGUCUCUCUUAUUCUGUGUAUCCUGUGUGUGUAAUGUGCAUACACUCCUUAUCAUUGCCCGUCUCCUCGUGCUAUGGCCUGUGUGUGUACCGGACUCUGGAGGGGGGCUGCGUCCAUACUGCACCACGAGAGUAGCUGCUACUCAGCCACGGUUACAUCCCGUUCUGCACUGAGACACCUAUAUCAUGCUGACCGCCACCCGCUCACAUUCUGUAGGUGAGAGAUUAGUGCUGGAUCAAAGGUGACCGGAUAUUUUAAGAUACUUCUGUUGAUACAAUAAAGUUUGAAAAUAAUGCAAAGUAUACCAUACCAAUACAAUUGUUGGAGGUUAUAUUGGAUUUUCAGACAUGAUUUUCCUCACAAAUAUGGCGUGGUCAAACCGAAAAAAUCCAAUGUGUAUAAUGUAUUAGGAGAAAAUAAUUUCCCCCUUGUGCUCAGAUGAUGAGGUGGCCGUCCGGCUUUUCCUGACAGAAUCUCGCCACCAGUAACAAUGUACUGAAAAGUCAAUAGGCGUGUGUGGCCGAGACCUACAUGAAGGUGUCUUAUCAGAUGCUCUGUACCAGAUCAGACCCAAAGCUAAUGAGGAAAUACCGCGUACCCCACUCCACAGAGAACGGCUUCUUCUAAGUGCUGGGUCCACACAAGAUCAAUGUAGUGAAAGUAGAUUUACUCCGAAACACACUAAAAUGGCUGCAUGGGUACAAUCCAGUGGCCCAGGUAGGUGUUAUACCACGUGGGUGGUGAGUGGUACAGUCAGUAACAGGGAAGAGGUCCGGACCUGAACUAAAACGUCCGCAUGCCCCCACGCUGCUGGAACUAUAGUCCCUGGGGUUGUCCUGUUAUAGGCCACUGGUCUUUGCACCACGACGUUACAGUCCAAACAGGUGACGUAAGUGUGUGGAGGUGUUCAUAGCACAUGAGCGGGAGAUCUGUAUGACGGCCUCGCUGCACACCUGACACCUCUCAUUCUCUAUUCCUGCAGUGAGAAGAAAGUGAUCUACAGCCAGCCUUCCGAGACCCGCAGUGACAAGAACUUCCAGCAAACGUCUUCCUUCCUGGUGUGAUGUGCCGCUGUCCCGUCCUCUGCUGCAGUGGAAUCUCUAUAGGGCGUGUGCGCAGGAGAGGCGUGGGAAUACUAGGAAUUAGCGGUUAGAUAUUUAUAAUCCCAGGCUCGCUGUAUCACAUGCACAGGGCGUUCUCUGAGCUGCUCGUAGCCAUUUGUACAUUUCUCCCGCUCAUAAAUACACCUUGUACCCAGCCCACCACGUACAGCUCAGAUAUUUAUUCAUCUGCGGGUCAGACCCUUGGAGCUUUCCAUGGCUAAUAGGUCUUGGUUUGAUCCUGCCCCUCCGGUCAGGCCUGGUCAACAGAGGACCACGGCCACCUACUGACCAUGUUCUCCAGGAAUGCCGGAACGUUGUACACCCAUAGGCCCCAUUUCCACACGUAUCGCCCACUACAUGAGAUAUGACUUCCUGCAGUCCCCUCCUUAUUGUGUAUGAAAUGAGCCUUAGUGUGCUGCAGCAUUGGGCAGAAUCAAUGAGAUGAACCAGCGCAAGUUAUACUAUGAGAUCGGCAGUUAUGACAUCAUUAUUCGCAAGAUGGACGUUCUAAGACUUCUGGGUACUACGCCAUAGCUGUAAUCCCUGGCGUUAAGUCAGUGGCCAUUUGUUUCCAUGGGGGUGGGAGAUGACGGGGAUGUGUGUGUGUGUGUGGGGGGGGGGGGUGUUAUGUCUACACUAUUUUUACAUUCUUGUGUUUUUCUAUCAAGUUUUAAAUCUACAUGUGGGAAUAAAUCUCCUGAACCAAGAAA